rnacentral:rRNA from 1 species
AUUGAACGCUGGCGGCAGGCCUAACACAUGCAAGUCGAACGAGUGGCGGACGGGUGAGUAAUGUCUGGGAAACUGCCUGAUGGAGGGGGAUAACUACUGGAAACGGUAGCUAAUACCGCAUACCAUCAGAUGUGCCCAGGUUGAAUUAGCUAGUGGGGGGGGUAACGGCUCACCAAGGCGUCGAUCCCUAGCUGGUCUGAGAGGAUGACCAGCCACACUGGAACUGAGACACGGUCCAGACUCCUACGGGAGGCAGCAGUGGGGAAUAUGGGACAAUGGGCGCAAGCCUGAUGCAGCAAGGCCGCGUGUAUGAAGAAGGCCUUCGGGUUGUAAAGUACUUUCGGCGGGGAGGCGUUACCUGAAGAAGAAGCACCGGCUAACUCCGUGCCAGCCGCCGCGGUAAUAC